rnacentral:rRNA from 2 species
UAGUGGCAGACGGGUGAGUAAUGUAUAGGAAUCUACCUAGUAGUACGGAAUAAUUGUUGGAAACGGCAACUAAUACCGUAUACGCCCUACGGGGGAAAAAUUUAUUGCUAUUAGAUGAGCCUAUAUUAGAUUAGCUAGUUGGUGGAGUAAUAGCCUACCAAGGCAAUGAUCUAUAGCUGAUCUGAGAGGAUGAUCAGCCACACUGGAACUGAGAUACGGUCCAGACUCCUACGGGAGGCAGCAGUGGGGAAUAUUGGACAAUGGGCGAAAGCCUGAUCCAGCCAUGCCGCAUGAGUGAAGAAGGCCUUUGGGUUGUAAAGCUCUUUUAGUGAGGGAGAUAAUGACGGUACUCACAGAAGAAGUCCUGGCUAACUCCGUGCCAGCAGCCGCGGUAAUACGGAGAGGGCUAGCGUUAUUCGGAAUUAUUGGGCGUAAAGGGCGCGUAGGCUGGUUAAUAAGUUAAAAGUGAAAUCCCGAGGCUUAACCUUGGAAUUGCUUUUAAAACUAUUAAUCUAGAGAUUGAAAGAGGAUAGAGGAAUUCCUGAUGUAGAGGUAAAAUUCGUAAAUAUUAGGAGGAACACCAGUGGCGAAGGCGUCUAUCUGGUUCAAAUCUGACGCUGAGGCGCGAAGGCGUGGGGAGCAAACAGGAUUAGAUACCCUGGUAGUCCACGCUGUAAACGAUGAAUGUUAAAUAUGGGAAGUUUACUUUCUGUAUUAUAGCUAACGCGUUAAACAUUCCGCCUGGGGACUACGGUCGCAAGAUUAAAACUCAAAGGAAUUGACGGGGACCCGCACAAGCGGUGGAGCAUGUGGUUUAAUUCGAUGCAACGCGAAAAACCUUACCACUUCUUG